rnacentral:rRNA from 1 species
UAUGAAGGGGGCUAGCGUUGUUCGGAAUUACUGGGCGUAAAGGGCGCGUAGGCGGUCCUGAUCGUCGGAUGUGAAAGGCCUGGGCUCAACCUGGGAAUGGCAUCCGAUACGGCGGGACUGGAGUGUGGGAGAGGUUGGUGGAAUUCCCAGUGUAGAGGUGAAAUUCGUAGAUAUUGGGAAGAACACCGGUGGCGAAGGCGGCCAACUGGACCACAACUGACGCUGAGGCGCGAAAGCGUGGGGAGCAAACAGG